GACGAACGCUGGCGGCGUGCUUAACACAUGCAAGUCGAACGGAAAGGCCCUGCUUGCAGGGUACUCGAGUGGCGAACGGGUGAGUAACACGUGGGUGAUCUGCCCUGCACUUCGGGAUAAGCCUGGGAAACUGGGUCUAAUACCGGAUAGGAGCCAUUUUUAGUGUGAUGGUUGGAAAGUUUUUUCGGUGUAGGAUGAGCUCGCGGCCUAUCAGCUUGUUGGUGGGGUAAUGGCCUACCAAGGCGGCGACGGGUAGCCGGCCUGAGAGGGUGGACGGCCACAUUGGGACUGAGAUACGGCCCAGACGCCGACGGGGGGCAGCAGUGGGGAAUAUUGCACAAUGGGCGCAAGCCUGAUGCAGCGACGCCGCGGGGGGGAUGACGGCCUUCGGGUUGGAAACUCCUUUCGCUAGGGACGAAGCUUUUUGUGACGGUACCUAGAUAAGAAGCACCGGCUAACUACGUG
rnacentral:rRNA from 1 species